GAUGAACGCUGGCGGCGUGCCUAAUACAUGCAAGUCGAGCGAACGGACGAGAAGCUUGCUUCUCUGAUGUUAGCGGCGGACGGGUGAGUAACACGUGGAUAACCUACCUAUAAGACUGGGAUAACUUCGGGAAACCGGAGCUAAUACCGGAUAAUAUUUUGAACCGCAUGGUUCAAAAGUGAAAGACGGUCUUGCUGUCACUUAUAGAUGGAUCCGCGCUGCAUUAGCUAGUUGGUAAGGUAACGGCUUACCAAGGCAACGAUGCAUAGCCGACGUGAGAGGGUGAUCGGCCACACUGGAACUGAGACACGGCCCAGACUCCUACGGGAGGCAGCAGUAGGGAAUCUUCCGCAAUGGGCGAAAGCCUGACGGAGCAACGCCGCGUGAGUGAUGAAGGUCUUCGGAUCGUAAAACUCUGUUAUUAGGGAAGAACAUAUGUGUAAGUAACUGUGCACAUCUUGACGGUACCUAAUCAGAAAGCCACGGCUAACUACGUG
rnacentral:rRNA from 1 species